rnacentral:lncRNA from 1 species
UUUUUUUUUUUUUACAAUGAAGAAAUUUAUGUUAUGUAUAUAUAUAUAUACACAUAUAUACACACACACACACACAGAAAAGUGCACAAAUGAAAAGCAUACAUGUUGGUGAAUUUUCAAAAAUGCAGCACUUUUGGAGUUCCCUGGUGGCACAGUGGGUUAAGCAUCCAGCAUUAUCAGUGCAGCAGCUUGGGUCACUGCUAUAACAUAGGUUGGAUCCCUGGCCUGGGAACUUCUUCAUGCUACCAGUGUGGCCCCUCCCAAAAUAGGGAACCCGUAUUUGUAUAAUCAACACCCAGAUUAAAAAAAAAAAAAAAAAAAAAACGAAAACUUAUCAGGGCACCUGAAGUUGUUCUGGUCCCUUCCCAGUCACUACUCCCCUCAAGGGUAGACAUGAUUCUGAUUCCUAAUAGUAGAAACUAGUUUUGUUUGCUUUGCUUUUUCUGUAAAGAGAAUUACACAGUAUGUACUCUUUUGUGUCAGGCUGCUUCUUUUUUUUUUUUUUUUGCCCUCACCCACAGCAUGUUGGAAGUUCUUGGCCCAGGGAUCAAACCUGUACCACAGAAGCUGUAGUGACAAUGCUGGAUCCUUAACCCGCUGCACCACAAAGGAACUUGUGUCUGGCUUCUUUUGUUCAACAUUAUUUUUGUGACAUUCAGCCAUAUUGCUAUGUGUAGUUUUAGUCCAUUCAUGCUCAUUACUGGGUAGUAUUAUAUUGUGGGAAUAUACCACAAUUUACUUUUUGAUUAUAACUGUUAAUGGAAUCAAAUAUUUUUGCAUCACAUAAGGGAGAAUUCUAUUUAUGAUAGAGAAUCUUCUUAUAAACAUGUUAAAGUCAUGUCCUAUCAGUAACAUUUUUAAGUUUUUGUCAUAUAAAAUUUAUAUAUUCCCUUUAAAGAUUAUUUCUAGUAUUUGAGUGUCUUGAUUGCUAUAGUUAUUUUUACUUUAUUUAUUUAUUUGCUUUUUAGGGCUUAACCUGCAGCAUAUAGAAGUUCCCAGGCUAUAGGUUGAAUUGGAGCUGCAGCUAUUAGUCUAUGCCACAGCAACACCAGAUCCAAGCCGCGUCUGUGACCUACACCACAGCUCAUGGCAGUGCUGGAUCCUUAACUGACUGAGUGAGGCUAGGGAUUGAACCUGUGUCUUCAUGGAUACUAGUCGGAUUUGUUACCACUGAGCUACAACAGGAACUCCAAGUUUUUUUUUUUUUUUUUACUUUUAAAAAGGUAAAAGAAUAGUUCAGACUCAAGGAAGAAUGUCCAUUGUUGCUCUAAAAAGCACAGGCCUAUUUUACAGGUUCAUCUUCCAGCUCUAAUGGGGAUGGGAGGUGAGGGGCACAAGAGAGGAAAUAAAGUGGUAGUCCAAAAAGGGGUUAAAAAUUAAAAAUUAAACCAUAGCAGUAAUUUCUUAACGAAAGCAGUGAAAAGCUGGAUGUAAUCACUUUUCCUGGAGAUUUUUUGAAGAAGGGUUGACUCUAAAUGGUUGGGUAGGGAGAUUGGGGAGUAGAAGGGAUAACUUUAGAUGAGAUGAUUCCAAACUCACUCUCAAGCCACUGUGCACUUGGGAUUUGUCAUCUCAUUUACCCUCUAAGAGCCCAAACCAGGAUUAAAAGAUUGAGUUGUGAGAGGCUGGGAUUGGGUGAAUCGUGAUUUCUUUAUUCUUAUCUCCAAUUCUGAAGAGUCCAUUCUGUUUCCUGGAAGGUUGUCCUGAACGAGAUGCAGGUGGCAGUAGAUGAAACCAGUUAACGUGAAGUGUUGAUUGCCCAACCAGUCCAGUGGGCAGGUGUUUUCACUCAAUAAGUCAAAGCAGGAAAGUAGACGUGAGCUAGAUGGUUGGGUAGUGAGGGGUUCUCAAAAACAGUAGCCUGGUUCCAGAGCCUUGACUGCUUAGAGUCCCCUUUCUUGACAGUCUGCAGACAAUCCAUUCAAAUAGCACUCAGCUAUCUGAGGUUUUGAAAAACAGCACACUCCCUUUGCCCACUGAAAGAAUCACCCCUUUCUUGCCCCAUCACUCAAGGCUCUUCACCAGAAACCAACCGGAGCAUGGGCCUUCAUCUCAGAAAUCAUGCUGGUGCUACUCCUCAGUCUUUAGAUUAGAUUGACAAAUUGUGGCAGGUGUCCUAGGAAAGAAACAUUCUCCUCAGCCUCUCCAGCUGCCACCAUCCAGCUUAACUCCCCUUUACAUAGGGGAAUUUGAAGUUUGAAGAAGACUCAGGAAUCCCAGAUCUCAGAUGCUCUCCAGCCUGAAUCACCACCACACUCGCCUCUUAGAGUAAAAGUCCUCUGCAAAGUCUCCUGCCUCUCUGAGAGGUGGAUGCUGUGGGGAGAAAGGGGAUGGGGAGGGGAGAAGCUGGAGGCAACAAUGUGUUUUCUCACAGGGUCCAUCUACCAUUUGCUCUUACCUGUGCAGUUAUCUACCUCACACCAUAGUCCUUUGCAGCCUUUUCGCUUUGUCGCUAAUGGUCCCUGGAGAGCAUGGGUGCCUAAGCCUUCAGCUUUCUUCCUGCCACUUGAGGCUUUUCACAGCAGAGGUCCUACAAGUUUUUUGUUUGUUUGUUUGUUUUUGUUUUUUUUUUUUAAAUAGUCUCACUCAAGGCAUAUGGAAGUUCCUGGACCAGAGACUGAAUCCAAGCUGCAGCUGUGACUUGUGCCACAGCUGCAGUAAUGCUGGAUCCUUUAACCCACUGCGCCAGGCCAGGGAUUGAACCUGUGCCACUACAGUAACCCAAACUACUGCAGUCAGAUUCUUUUUCAUUUGCUUUUUUUUUUUAGGGUCUCAUCUGUGGCAUAUGGAAGUUCCCAGGCAAGGGGUCAAAUCAGAGCUGUAGCUGCUGACCUACACCACAGCCACAGCCAUAGCCACAGCAGCUCAGGAUCCAAGCCACUUCUGCAACCUACACCACAGCUUGUGGCAAUGCUGGGUCCUUAACCCAGUGAGUGAGGCCAGGGAUCCAACUUGUGUCUUCGUGGAUACUGGUCAGGUUCAUUACCACUGAGGCACAGCAGGAACUCCUGCAGUCAAUUCUUAACCCAUUGUGCCAUAGUGGGAACUCCUCUGAGCAUUUUUGUUCAUUACUUGCACCAGAUAUUCUCAGAGGGUCUGUGACUCAUUGCCUUGCAUCGUGCUCCUCUCUUGUAUAAGGGAACCAGCCUAGGAGAGGACAUGGGGAAAUUAUAAUAUAUAUCAGGGGCCAAAAUGGGGUGUGCUGAAACACUGGCCAGAGUAUCUUUGAGUGCAGACUUCUCUUAGAUAAGAUCGUGUCUGAAAUGGAAGAGAGGAGGGGUAGGGAGAGGUUGGGUUGGGAUGACCUCAGGAAGGUGCUCUCGGGCAGGAAUAGGCAGAGGGAGGGCAGAGACGAAUUCUCCUUGAAUCUGAAGCAGCUCACUGAUUGUCCCACCAUACUGGAAAUUCCUGAGCCAGGCUCUCUAUAACCGGAGAGGUUGUUGUGGUUAGAACCUAGGAAAAAACCUCGGAAAUCUGGAGCUGCCUUUUUGUGUGUGUGUCUUUUUAGGGCCGUGCCUGCAGCAUAUGGAGGUUCCCAGGCUAAGGGUCUAAUCGGAGCUGUAGAUGCUAGUCUUUGCCAGGGCCACGGCCACCCAGGAUCUGUGCCGCGUCUGCGAUCCACACCACAGCUCACAGCAACGCCAGAUCCUUAACCCACUGAGCGGGGCCAGGGAUUGAACCCACAACCUCAUGGUUCCUUGUUGGAUUUGUUAACCACUGCACCACCACGGGAAGUCCCUGAAGCCGCCAUUUUUAAUCAUGAGAGGCUGUGUUGCUGGCAGCCAGGCAUUUCAGUUCAUCUGAUUUCUGAAAUGUCUGCUGGUCCCUGGGGCAGAGGCAAGGAUGUUGGGAGAGGAAACUGAGAAGAAAGAUGAAAAACCAACAACUAAUCCUCAGCUUCCUAAAUCAGGUGCAUUAGAGUUACUGAACUGACCCCAGUUCCCCUUAAAAGAAUUGUUCAGAGUGGAUUUUACCUUCCUCACAAGCCAAUUUCUACAGCUGAGAGGCCCUGGGAGAGGGGGUUAAAAGAGCAGACAGCGACUGGAGCAGUGUGGCACUGUGGUGGAAAAGCAUUUGGGUUUUAAGUUAGACAGCCCUGAGUUCAGCAGCAGCUCUCUUACUAACUAGCUCUGUGUACUUGAACAAGUUGCUUAAUCUAUUUGACCUUUAGUUCCAUCAGCCAAGAAUCCCUGUCUUAAUAGGGUGGAUGUAAGGAUGAAAUAAGAACAAAAAAUAUAAAUAUCAGCUCUAUAUCAGACCUAUAUCUUUAUCUAUCUCUAUAUAUCCACUGACACAGAAUAGGCCCUCAGCAGAUGUUAUUUUUCUUCUCUCUCCAUGACUCUCUCCGCCCCCACCCCUGACCUCUGAAGCUGCCAUUGGAUUGCCUUCCAUGGGGACCAUAACAUCCCUGCACAUGUGCACACAUCACCCACCGCUGUCCCCGGUUGCAGGCGCACACAUGUUGACACAUACACACACCCCUGAGCUACAGGCAGCCUUUCCAGACAGUGGAGGUAAGGGGCUGGCUUGUUGAUGAUUGGACAAGCUGUUUAAGUACUAAGUCAUAGUAACCUUGUUAUGGUAACUUGAAGGUGUUCUGGAAAGGCAGUGUUAGGAGAGCAAGGGCUGGUGGGGAAAUCCCACAGGCAUUUCCUCUAGGUUGAAUGUGCAUCUUAGGGAUACUUUGCACACCUCUGCCAAGGAGGUCCUGGUGUACACCCAGAGUUAUGGUGUCUGGAGCUGUGCCGUCUAGUAUGGUAGCCACCGGCCACAUGUGGUUAUGGAGCAGUUGAAAGAUAGCCCGUGUGACCUAGGAGUGGAAUUUUAAUUUUAUUUUAUUUUAUUUAAUUAACUAAUUAAUUUAUUUAUUUUUGCCCUUUUUUUUUAAAGGGCCAUACCUGUAGCAUAUGGAGAUUCCUAGACUAGGGGUCUAAUUGGAGCUGUAGCCAAGCGACGCCAGAUCUGAGCCUCCUCUUUGACCUAUACCACAGCUCACGCCAGACCCUUAACCCACUGAGCGAGCCCAGGGAUCAAACCCAUGUCCUCAUGGAUACUAGUCAGAUUUGUUUCUGCUGAGCCAUGAUGGGAACUCCUAAAUUUUAAUUUCAAUUAAUUUAAAUGUUAAAACCAGUACUUGAUUUAGUUAUUGGCAAAGUUUUAAUAUAAUUGGAGAAGGCUGGGUGUGUGAAUUGACUUUCAACAGUGAAUUUUGUGAGACUUAAAUACAGAUCAGAUAUUUCUGGUGAAGAUUUAGUUAUCAAAUUGGAAUUGCUGUAAAGGUAAAAUCUACACCGGAUUUCAAUAUCUAAUAUGACAAAAAUGUAAAAUAUUUCAUUAUCCAUUUUUAUCCUGAUAACGUGUUGGAAUAGUUUGGGUACAUUGGGUGAAAUAAAAUAUAGUAUUAAAAUGC